UACGUAGGGGGCAAGCGUUGUCCGGAUUUAUUGGGCGUAAAGAGCUCGUAGGCGGCUUGUCACGUCGGAUGUGAAAGCCCGGGGCUUAACCCCGGGUCUGCAUUCGAUACGGGCAGGCUAGAGUGUGGUAGGGGAGAUCGGAAUUCCUGGUGUAGCGGUGAAAUGCGCAGAUAUCAGGAGGAACACCGGUGGCGAAGGCGGAUCUCUGGGCCAUUACUGACGCUGAGGUGCGAAAGCGUGGGGAGCAAACAGG
rnacentral:rRNA from 1 species